AGAGUUUGAUCCUGGCUCAGAAUCAACGCUGGCGGCGUGCCUAACACAUGCAAGUCGAACGAGAAAGUGGAGCAAUCCAUGAGUAAAGUGGCGCACGGGUGAGUAACACGUGACUAACCUACCCUUGAGUGGGGGAUAACUUCGGGAAACCGAGGCUAAUACCGCAUAAUACCUACGGGUCAAAGGAGCAAUUCGCUUAAGGAGGGGGUCGCGGCAGAUUAGUUAGUUGGCGGGGUAAUGGCCCACCAAGACGAUGAUCUGUAUCCGGCCUGAGAGGGCGCACGGACACACUGGAACUGAAACACGGUCCAGACUCCUACGGGAGGCAGCAGUGGGGAAUUUUGCGCAAUGGGGGAAACCCUGACGCAGCAACGCCGCGUGGAGGAUGAAGUACUUCGGUACGUAAACUCCUUUCGAUCGGGACGAUAAUGACGGUACCGAGAGAAGAAGCCCCGGCUAACUUCGUGCCAGCAGCCGCGGUAAUACGAGGGGGGCGAGCGUUGUUCGGAAUUAUUGGGCGUAAAGGGUGCGUAGGCGGUUUGGUAAGUCUGAUGUGAAAUCUAUGGGCUCAACUCAUAGUCUGCAUCGGAAACUGCCGGGCUUGAGUAUGGGAGAGGUGAGUGGAAUUUCCGGUGUAGCGGUGGAAUGCGUAGAUAUCGGAAGGAACACCUGUGGCGAAAGCGGCUCACUGGACCAUAACUGACGCUGAUGCACGAAAGCUAGGGGAGCAAACAGGAUUAGAUACCCUAGUAGUCC
rnacentral:rRNA from 1 species